rnacentral:misc_RNA from 1 species
GUCAUGUGACCUAAGAUGGCGGACAAAAAGAAAUGGAAAAAGAUUUUGUAUGAAAAUCAGGGUGUACCGGACAAUUACGUUGAUGAGACGUUCUUAGAUGAAAUGAGAAAAAAUGUUUACACUAGAGAAUAUGAGUACUGGAAUGUUGUCAAGGAAUCGGGGACUUUAACCCAACAGGCAAGCAGUGUGUGCAUCUUUGUCGUCAUCUUCAUAUACAUGGACAAUAACAGCAUUAAGCCAGAGAUCUUAUUCAUUGUGUCUUCCAUCCUGACUCUGAUUGGCUACAUUGUCUACCAUGUAAUAAGCCAUAACAAUGGUAUUGCACAAGGGAACAGUCGCACAUGGUGGGAUGAUUUCAAAACCUGUGUUAUCUUCAUUGGAUUUGGCUUUGGUCUAUCCCCUGUGUUGAUGACCCUUACUGACACUAUUAGUACAGAUACAAUCUACGCCAUGACUGCAUUCAUGCUGAUUGCUAAUGUCAUCUUUCAUGACUAUAGUGCAACCGCACCAGUUGUUUCUGGUGCACUCUCUCUGAAUGCAGCCAUAUUUGCUUCAGUGUGUCUAGCCUCAAGACUACAUACCACAUGGCAUGCAUUUGCCACUGUCUCAUUCGCAGUAGAAAUAUUCGCCUUGUGGCCAGAAUUCAGAAGAAAAUUAAAGAAAAAUGUACAAUACAGCCAGGUUACCAUGACAAUUACAUUGGGAGUAGCAACAAGUGUUUCCAUAGCAACAGUGUCACUGACGGGAGCUGUCAUAUUCAGUCUGCUGCACAUAUUUGUCACAUUUAUAUGUCCUGCCUGGCUUAUUAGUCUUCAACCAUAUAAGAAUAAUAUUUAUGGGCCAUGGGAUGAAGCGGUUAUAGAGAAGUGAACUACAUUCCACCUACUAGAAGUGUAAUCACUACAAAAGAUUUCAAUGGAAUCAAACUUCCAGUAAAUGAUAGAGCUGCCGAGCCUAUGUAUGGUGGAACUGUUGUUUGGAGGUGAUGCUAACAUAAAGUGAAGCUGCCUAUGUAUGGUGGUAUUGCAUGCACAGUGUAUGUAUUGCAGUGCUGUCUUUGACAGAUGUGCUCCUUUAUAUAUGUAUGCUGGAGAUGCUUUCCUAUGGAGUAGCAACCAAGUACCCCGGGCCAAGUACACAGCGUGGUUGUGUUUGUAUCCUAGGCUAAAAGGGCGAUACAAAUCAUUUUUGAAUAAAGAUGGCAUGUUAAUCGAUCUGUGAGAGAAAGAUAAUACUGGAUUAUGUUGCUGCUGCCAUCUUUUUAUAGGCCCAGAACCUAUGCUUUGUAUUUAAGGCUACGUACCUGUAUUGCAGACCUGGUGCUGAAUAGCUAGCAUACUACUGUAUGACUAUGAGAUAUCAUUAGAAAUAUCAAAGGGACCAAAAAGAUGCAUAUGUACUGUAUACAAGUAUGUCUAUGAGAUAGAUAAAGCAAGAAAGGACAUGCUUAAUUAGAAUUCUUCGAAUCAUGAGAUUUAUGUCAAUUAUAAUAUAUUUUUAUUUGCAUUUGUUUCAGAAGCCAUGGGCAUGAUGACAAUUAUUCAAGUCCAUGGUCAGGACAAGUCCAUGUAUAUAUAAAAUAAUAAUAAUUCCAAUACAUAUCCUGAAAAAAUCAGUUUGAACAUUAAAUAUUUUUUGAUCAUUAUCCUUUUGAUGCUUGGUCUUGAUAGAUUGAAAAUGUGUGUUCAUUCCAAAAAAAUAUGUAGAUGUCGGUAUCUUUUGCCCAAUCAGAUUUCAUGCUUUUUUGAACUUACAUGUACAUUGGGAAUAGAAUAUACCCGAGUGGAGUCAUUCGGCUUGGAGAUUCCGGAACUGGAUAAAGUAUAUUCUACCGCUUAGGGAACAGUAACGUCGAUUCGUUGUUCGCAAUAUAUGUCAUAUUACCCCAAGCGGUAAAAUAUAUCAUUGGAUCGCGGCGCCACACACGAUAUAGGAACUCUCUAUCAGAUUGUGCUGUUUUCAUGUCAGAUGUCAUACUACAUGUCGAUUUACGGUCGAAAUGGCAAAGCAAUUAGUUUUUAAAUCUAAAGAAUAUCGAAAUUGACAUCUGCGGUCAUUUUGAAAGAUACAUGCAACGACCAGAAAUAAUAAAGUUAUGAACACAAAAGCAUCCUCAUGCUGGACAUUCAUUGAUGUACAUGCCAUAACAUCAUAUAUUCAAAACAAUGAAUAUGGGGGUGUUACAGCGAAUAUGGGGGUGUUACAGCUUAUCCCGUUCUUAAAAAUGUAACUUACUAAUCAAUACAGUCUGUUUUGCUUAAAUGUUCAUAAUGUUUCUUUCAAAUAUUGACAUAUA